UAGAAACGGGCAAAAUAGGUGAAGGGGAUUAAAAGGCACAAACUUACAGUUAUAAAGUAAGUCAUGGGGACGCCUGGGUGGCUCAGUU